rnacentral:rRNA from 1 species
CCUACGGGGAGGCAGCAGUGGGGAAUCUUGGACAAUGGGCGCAAGCCUGAUCCAGCCAUGCCGCGUGAGUGAUGAAGGCCCUAGGGUCGUAAAGCUCUUUCGCCAGAGAUGAUAAUGACAGUAUCUGGUAAAGAAACCCCGGCUAACUCCGUGCCAGCAGCCGCGGUAAUA